rnacentral:rRNA from 1 species
AGAGUUUGAUCCUGGCUCAGGAUGAACGUUGGCGGCGUGCCUAAUACAUGCAAGUCGAACGAGAAGCCUAAACUUCGGUUAAGGUGGAGAGUGGCGCACGGGUGAGUAACACAUGGCUGACCUGCCCUUCAGAGGAGGACAACCACUGGAAACGGUGGCUAAUACUCCAUAUGCUCACGGGAAUUAGAACACUGUGAGGAAAGUUCCGGCGCUGAAGGAGGGGGCUGUGGCCCAUCAGCUAGUUGGUGUGGUAAUGGCACACCAAGGCGAUGACGGGUAGGGGACCUGAGAGGGUGAUCCCCCACAUGGGCACUGAGACACGGGCCCAACUCCUACGGGAGGCAGCAGUAAGGGAUAUUGCGACAAUGGGCGAAAGCCUGACGCAGCAACGCCGCGUGUGGGAUGACGGCCUUCGGGUUGUAAACCACUUUUCUGUGGGAAGAGGAAGGACGGUACCACAGGAAUAAGUCUCGGCUAACUACGUGCCAGCAGCCGCGGUAAAACGUAGGAGGCGAACGUUAUCCGGAUUUACUGGGUGUAAAGCGCGUGCAGGCGGUAACGUAAGUCGUGUGUGAAAGCGCUCAGGCUCAACCGGGCGAGGACAUGCGAAACUGCGUAACUAGAGGCAGGUAGAGGCGUGCGGAAUUCCGGGUGUAGUGGUGAAAUGCGUAGAUAUCCGGAGGAACACCAGUGGCGAAGGCGGCGCGCUGGACCUGACCUGACGCUAAGACGCGAAAGCAUGGGGAGCGAACGGGAUUAGAAACCCCGGUAGUCCAUGCCGUAAACGAUGCAUACUAGAUGUUGCGGUGUCAAGCUGCAGUGUCGAAGCAAACGUGAUAAGUAUGCCACCUGGGGACUACGGCCGCAAGGUUAAAACUCAAAGGAAUUGACGGGGGCCCGCACAAGCAGCGGAGCGUGUGGUUUAAUUCGAGGCUACACGAAGAACCUUACCUGGGCUUGACAUAUAAGUGGUAGAGAACCGAAAGGGGAUCGACCUUCGGGAGCUUAUACAGGUGCUGCAUGGCUGUCGUCAGCUCGUGUCGUGAGAUGUUCGGUUAAGUCCGGUAACGAGCGCAACCCUCGCCGUUAGUUACAAGUGUCUAACGGGACUGCCCGUUGAACGCGGGAGGAGGGUGGGGAUGACGUCAAGUCAGCAUGCCCUUUAUGUCCAGGGCUACACACACGCUACAAUGGCCAGUACAAUGGGUCGCCAACCCGCGAGGGGGAGCUAAUCCAAUAAAGCUGGUCUCAGUUCGGAUUGUAGGCUGCAACUCGCAUACAUGAAGUCGGAGUUGCUAGUAACCGCAGGUCAGCUAUACUGCGGUGAAUACGUUCCCGGGCCUUGUACACACCGCCCGUCACGUCAUGGAAGCUGGUCAUGCCUGAAAUCGGUGGGUUAACCGUAAGGAGACAGCCGCCUAAGGCAGGGCUGGUGACUGGGACGAAGUCGGAACAAGGUA